ACCUGGCUGGCUCAGUUGGAAGAGCACGUGACUCUCGAUCUUAGGGCUUGGGUUCAAGCCCCACACUGGGUG
rnacentral:tRNA from 1 species